UAAGCUUCCCUUCAGUAAAGCAGGAAGUUGGCAGACUGGUUUUUUGUGCUGCUGCUGGGCUGCUGUUGUUGUUUUAGGGACUUUCAGGAAGUGAAAUCCCUAUCUGAGAAACUCAAGCUAUGGGGAUCUUGGAGUCUAGAAAUCUAGACAACCCAAAAGGUUCCAUCCUGGAAACCUCCAAAAGCAUGGAGCAACUUUAAUUCAUAGAAGAGAUGGGACCUUUCCUCUACAAAAAGGCAAAAUUAAGAAGUUAUCUUUGGAAUUAUCAUACCACCCACAUCUGGAACACUACCACACCAUCACCCCAAACUGGAUGCAGAUUUGAAGACCCAUAGCAUCUUAUUCCUAUUUUUAGUCAGCCAUAAAGAAUAUCUUCUGUAAAGAAUAAAUCUCCUUUGGAUACAUAAGUUUGGUGUGUGAAUUACCUUUUCCCUUCCAUAGUUAUUCAUUUGAAGAGAAAUUGGCUGCCAAAUAAAGGAAUGGAAAAAGUUAUGAGAACUAAGAAA